rnacentral:rRNA from 1 species
GACGAACGCUGGCGGCGUGCUUAACACAUGCAAGUCGAACGGAAAGGCCCUGCUUUUGUGGGGUGCUCGAGUGGCGAACGGGUGAGUAACACGUGAGUAACCUGCCCUUGACUUUGGGACAACUUCAGGAAACUGGGGCUAAUACCGGAUAGGAGCUCCUGCUGCAUGGUGGGGGUUGGAAAGUUUCGGCGGUUGGGGCUGGACUCGCGGCUUAUCAGCUUGUUGGUGGGGUAGUGGCUUACCAAGGCUUUGACGGGUAGCCGGCCUGAGAGGGUGACCGGCCACAUUGGGACUGAGAUACGGCCCAGACUCCUACGGGAGGCAGCAGUGGGGAAUAUUGCACAAUGGGCGGAAGCCUGAUGCAGCAACGCCGCGUGCGGGAUGACGGCCUUCGGGUUGUAAACCGCUUUCGCCUGUGACGAAGCGUGAGUGACGGUAAUGGGUAAAGAAGCACCGGCUAACUACGUG